AACGCACAUUGCGCCCGCCGGUAUUCCGGCGGGCAUGCCUGUUCGAGCGUCAUUUCAACCCUCAGGCCCUGCCUGGUGUUGGGGCACCACUGCUGUGGGCUCCCAAAUUCAACGGCGGGCGCGUCCCGGACCCGAGCGUAGUAACAUACAUCGCUUAGGGCGCCGAGCGUGCUUCAGCCGUUAAACAUAUUUUCUAGGUUGACCUCGGAUCAGGUAGGAAUACCCGCUGAACUUAA
rnacentral:misc_RNA from 1 species